UCAAAAACAUGUUUGAUUUAUUUGCAUAAAUAGGCUCACCUCUAGAAAACAUUGCCACCAAAACUACUACAACGAUGGUUCUUCCAUUGCAAUUAGCAAUAAAGCAUGUGGUGUGAUCAUAAACGAAGGCUGACGUGAGGUUCGAGGUCAUGAGUUUCAAUCCUCGAGAAUGCACGCGUGUAUUUAGCACGACUCGUGUCAUGUAUCUAUGAGGUAUAGCCGCUUGGAAAAACAAUUUUUUUCUGUUUUCUCCCUUUUUUUGCAAUUUUUUUCUUAAAGGAUUUCUAGACUGGUUACUGGAAAUACACUAGAAAUCGAUUUUCAGUGGUAUUCACUGCAUAUCAAUGUUGGUUGCAUACUUGCAUCUAAAAAUAUUUCUAUAGUAGUACAUUGCAUUCAUUUAUUUGAACUUAAACAUUUUUAACAAUUUGAUCAAAAUUAGAGAAGCUUGACUUAGGACAUAGCCAAAGUAACACUACGGGGGACACAAAUGCUUUGUCGAGUGUCUCUGGCACUGAGCAAAGGUCUAAAAACACUCGGCAAAGCCUUUGCCGAGUGCCACACUCGGCAAAGAGCAUACGGUAAAAAUCUGGUC
rnacentral:lncRNA from 1 species